GACGAACGCUGGCGGCGUGCCUAAUACAUGCAAGUCGAGCGAGCUUGCCUAGAUGAAUUUGGUGCUUGCACCAAAUGAAACUAGAUACAAGCGAGCGGCGGACGGGUGAGUAACGCGUAGGUAACCUGCCUCUUAGCGGGGGAUAACUAUUGGAAACGAUAGCUAAUACCGCAUAAAAGUCGAUAUCGCAUGAUAUUGACUUGAAAGGUGCAAUUGCAUCACUAAGAGAUGGACCUGCGUUGUAUUAGCUAGUUGGUGAGGUAACGGCUCACCAAGGCGACGAUACAUAGCCGACCUGAGAGGGUGAUCGGCCACACUGGGACUGAGACACGGCCCAGACUCCUACGGGAGGCAGCAGUAGGGAAUCUUCGGCAAUGGACGGAAGUCUGACCGAGCAACGCCGCGUGAGUGAAGAAGGUUUUCGGAUCGUAAAGCUCUGUUGUAAGAGAAGAACGAGUGUGAGAGUGGAAAGUUCACACUGUGACGGUAACUUACCAGAAAGGGACGGCUAACUACGUGCCAGCAGCCGCGGUAAUA
rnacentral:rRNA from 1 species